rnacentral:pre_miRNA from 1 species
AGUGGAAUUGCUGAGUCAUAUAGUAAGUGUAUGUUUUACUUUGGUAGUAACUGCCAAACUGUUUUCCAAAGUGGCUGUACCAUUUUACACUCCUGCCAGCAGU